rnacentral:lncRNA from 1 species
UUCCACAAAUCGCGAACCUGAAACUGUAAAGUUAGAAGGUUGUGCCACAAACCGCGAACCUGAAAAUGUAGAAUUAGAAUGUGCCACAAAUCAUGCACCUGAAACUUUGAACACAGAGGAAACGGAGUGUGGUGAGAAGGAGCCGAAGAAGUUGGAUAAUUGUGAUGACCAGCCAAACCAUGGACCUGAAACUUUAAACACAGUGGAAAUGGAGUGUGGUGAGAAGGAGUCGAAGAAGUUGGAUAAUUGUGUUGACCAGCCGAAUCAUGGACCUGAAACUUUAAACACAGAGGAAAUGGAGUGUGGUGAGAAGGAGCCGAAGAAGUUGGAUAAUUGUGGUGACCAGCCGAAUCAUGGACCUGAAACUUUAAACACAGAGGAAAUGGAGUGUGGUGAGAAGGAGCCGAAGAAGUUGGAUAAUUGUGAUGACCAGCCGAAUCAUGGACCUGAAACUUUAAACACAGAGGAAAUGGAGUGUGGUGAGAAGGUGCUGAAGAAGUUGAAUAAUUGUGGUGACCAGCCAAAUCAUGCACUUGAAACUUUAAACACAGAGGAAAUGGAGUGUGGUGAGAAGGAGCCGAAGAAGUUGGAUAAUUGUGGUGACCAGCCAAAUAAUGCACCUGAAACUUUAAACACGGAGGAAAUGGAGUGUGGUGAGAAGGAGCCGAAGAAGGUGAAUAAUUGUGGUGACCAGCCAAAUAAUGCACCUGAAACUUUAAACACAGAGGAAAUGGAGUGUGGUGGGAAGGAGCCGAAGAAGGUGAAUAAUUGUGAUGACCAACCCGAUGUAAGGAUUGACGUGAAGGAAGAUGAUAUGCUGUCAGAAGUUUCAAAUCCAAAUUUGUCUCCAAG